rnacentral:lncRNA from 1 species
UUCAUUUCCGUCACCCAAAUCCCAACUCUCUCUCUCUCUCUCUCUCUCUCUAUAUAUAUCUCUCAUCUCUCUCUGCGCGCCCAAUUUGUCAAGACGCCAGAGAUAACCCAGAAAGCAAAGCAAAGCAAACAAAACUAGAUACAGUUGCUUGCACGAUCUCUGAAAGCAAAGAAGAAUCUCACAAUACCCAAAAAGGAGUGGCCUUUACUCUCGUGUCUUCAUUCACAUCAUCUUCGGUUUCUUUUCUUGUUCGCUUUCUGGUUAAGCAGAGCCUUUAGCACAGAAUCAAAAGGUUAAAGUAAUAAGAUGAUGAGUUUAAAUGAUGAGUCCCAAUUUAUAUCUGUGGAGGAAAGAGGAGAAGAUGCUACAACAAAUGUACAAGGUGAUGAUUUGCCUUGAUGAGUCCCAAUUUAAAUGAUGAGUCCCAAUUUAAAUGAUGAGUCCCAAUUUCUACCGUUGCAUCUGAAUCGGCCUUUAGCAUUGGCGGGAGAGUUUUAGAUCAAUACUGCAGCUCACUGUUGCCUGACACAGUUCAAGCUCUGCUUUGUACUCGAGAUUGGAUUUUUGGUAACAAAG